rnacentral:rRNA from 1 species
GACGAACGCUGGCGGCGUGCUUAACACAUGCAAGUCGAACGGAAAGGCCCUGCUUUUGUGGGGUGCUCGAGUGGCGAACGGGUGAGUAACACGUGAGUAACCUGCCCUUGACUUUGGGAUAACUUCAGGAAACUGGGGCUAAUACCGGAUAUGAGCUCCUGCUGCAUGGUGGGGGUUGGAAAGUUUCGGCGGUUGGGGAUGGACUCGCGGCUUAUCCGCUUGUUGGUGGGGUAGUGGCUUACCAAGGCUUUGACGGGUAGCCGGCCUGAGAGGGUGACCGGCCACAUUGGGACUGAGAGACGGCCCAGACUCCUACGGGAGGCAGCAGUGGGGAAUAUUGCACAAUGGGCGGAAGCCUGAUGCAGCAACGCCGCGUGCGGGAUGACGGCCUUCGGGUUGUAAACCGCUUUCGCCUGUGACGAAGCGUGAGUGACGGUAAUGGGUAAAGAAGCACCGGCUAACUACGUG